GCAGACUCACUCUGUGCUGAACUGCAACCUUCAGUUCAGGUGCUUUUCUGUCUGCAAGAGUAAAGCUCACUCCAGUGACCAUGGCCUUCUUUGCUGUAGAAGGCUGUUACAGUUGCUGUUGGGACAUUGCU
ensembl:snoRNA